rnacentral:rRNA from 1 species
GACGAACGCUGGCGGCGUGCUUAACACAUGCAAGUCGAACGGAAAGGCCCUGCUUUUGUUGGUUGCUCGAGUGGCGAACAGGUGAGUAACACGCGAGUAACCCGCCCUUAACUUUGGGAUAUCUUCAGGAAACUGGGGCUAAUACCGGAUAGGAGCUCCUGCUGCAUGUUGGGCGUUGGAAAGUUUGGGCGGUUGGGGAUCGUCUCGCGGCUUAUGGGCUUGAUGGGGGGGUAGGUGCUGACCAAGCCUUAGACGGGUAGGCGGCCUGAGAGGUGGAACGGCGACAAUGCGACUGAGAGAGGGCCCAGACGCCUACGGGAGGCAGCAGGGGGGAGUAUUGCAGAAUGGGCGGAAGCCAGAGGCAGCAACGCCGCGUGCGGGAUGACCGCCUUCGGGUUGUAAACCGCUUUGGCCGGUGACGAAGCGUGAGUGACGGUAAUGGAUAAAGAAGCACCGGCUAACUACGUG